GAAGGGAGGAAGGAGUUAGAGAAGGAAGGAGGGAGGUGGAGAAGGAAACAAGGAGGAAGAGAAGAAAACAAGGUGUCUGGGAAGUAAAGGAAAGAAGGAGGUGGAAACGUAAAGGAAAGAAGGAGGUGGAAAAGGAUACAAGUAGGUAGAGAAGGAAAAAAGGAUUUAGAGAAGGAGAGGAGGAGGUGGAGAAGGAAGCAAGGAGACAAAGCAGGAAAGAGGGAGGUAGAGAAGGAAAGAAGGAGGUAAAGAAGCAAAGAUGGAUUUAGUGAAGGAAAGAGGGAGGUGGAGAAGGAAGCAAGGUGGGGAGGAAGGAGUAAGAGAAGGAAGCAAGGAGGUAGAGAAUGAAACAAGAAAGUAGAGAAGAAAACAAGGUGUCUGGGAAGUCAAGGAAACAAGGAGGUGGAAACGUAAAGGAAAGAAGGAGGUGGAAAAGGAUACAAGUAGGUAGAGAAGGAAACAAGGAUUUAGAGAAGGAGAGGAGGAGGAGGUGAAGAAGGAAGCAAGGAGGUGAAUGUGGAAAGAAGGAGGAAGAGAAGGAAACAAGAAAGUAGAGAAGAAAACAAGGAUUUAGAGAAGGAGAGGAGGAGGUGGAGAAGGAAGCAAGGAGACAAAGCAGGAAAGAGGGAUGUAGAGAAGGAAAGAAGGAGGUAAAGAAGCAGAGAAGGAUUUAGUGAAGGAAAGGGAGGUGGAGAAGGAAGCAAGGUAGAGAAGGAAGCAAGGAGGUAGAGAAUGAAACAAGAAAGUAGAGAAGAAAACAAGGUGUCUGGGAAGUCAAGGAAAGAAGGAGGUGGAAACGUAAAGGAAAGAAGGAGGUGGAAAAGAAUACAAGUAGGUAGAGAAGGAAACAAGGAUUUAGAGAAGGAGAGGAGGAGGUGAAGAAGGAAGCAAGGAGACAAAGAAGGAAAGAGGGAGGUGGAGAAGGAAGCAAGGAGGUGAAUGUGGAAAGAAGGAGGAAGUAAAGGAAACAAGAAAGUAGAGAAGAAAACAAGGAUUUAGAGAAGGCGAGGAAGAGGUGGAGAAGGAAGCAAGGAGACAAAGCAGGAAAGAGGGAUGUAGAGAAGGAAAGAAGGAUUUUAGUGAAGGAGAGGAGGAGGUGGAGAAGGAGGGAAGGAGUUAGUGAAGAAAAUGAAGAAGUAGAGAAUGUAAGAAGGAGGUAGAGAAGGAAGGAGCGAGGUGGAGAAGGUGCAAUGAUUUCAACAUGAAAACAAUAAUUUGUGUGUUUUCUAUAAUCAAUAUAUUGAUGUUUUCCCGUCUGCAGCUGGCGGCGAUGCUGUGACAUCACACGGCCGAGGCGUCCAAUGACAGCGCUGGGAUCAUGGAUGCGUGUGGGACACCACACAGGGCGGAACAAUGAGGACGAAGGACAGCCAUGACGGACGGGGACGGGGCGGGACGACGGAGCAGGGGGGGAGGAGAGGGGACAGGGGGCAGGCGGUGGCGAGACAGGCGGGGAUGGGUGAGACGGGGGGCGUGUCCCCGCUGCCUGUCUUCCUGUUCCCCUCUGAGCUGGUGUUCUACUGUGAACAGAGGAGCUCCCACAGGAGAGUGUUGACCCUGUACAACCCCUACAGCUUCAGCCUCAGCUUCAAGAUGUUGUGCACAGCUCCCUCUCUGUACAGGGUGGUGGAGGCGGAGGGGAGCGUCCGAGCUAAAUCCUGUGUGGACCUGGUGGUGCGUCACCUGGAUGUCUCCCCCGGCAACUGGGGCCGCAGGGACCGGUUCCGUCUGGAGGUGAGGGGAGGAGGUCAGGUGGGAGGACGGGAGAUCUGGGCCGAGCUGAGAGGAGGAGAGGAAAAGGGAGGAGGAGUAGAGGAAGAGGAAGAGAGGAGGAGGAGGAAACAACGAGGGGAGGAGAGGAGGACAGCAGGCCAGCAGAGGGCGCUGUCUGCUCUGUCUCCUCUGCUGGUGCCCACACACACACACCUGCAGCUGCCCACCUGCACAGGUGUGCGCAGUCUGUCUCAGUGGGUGGUGUGUGUGGUGGUGGGGGUGCUGUGUGUCGCAGUGUUGAUGCUCCCCCUCCACACUGAGAGCAGCUCCAUGGUUCCACUCUGCCUGCACGUCUCCACCAAUCUGAAGCUGGUCUGCGCCUACACACUGGGUCUUCUCACCAUGGUGUUUCUACGGUAACCGGUGACAUCGUGCUGCUGCCGCCUCCUCUUCUGUCUGAGUGAUGGCACCGUGGCAACCAAGGACCCUGAUGACCUUUGACCUCCAUGCUGUCCAUCAGAUACACACAGACUUUCUCCAUGAAGUCAACACACACACACACACACACACACACAUCUGAAUGAGUCAUCAGUGACUGUUCAACAGAGUCAGAUAGAACUUUAUUUAAAACAGGAAACACACACAGUCAACCUGCAGGUCGAGACCCUGACGACGUCUUCAGGCGGACGUCCUCAGGUGAUGGUCGUCUUCAGGUGGACGUCCUCAGGUGAUGGUCGUCCUCAGGUGGUCGUCCUCAGGUGAUGGUCGUCCUCCUCAGGUGGACGUCCUCAGGUGAUGGACGUCCUCAGGUGGACGUCCUCAGGUGAUGGUCGUCCUCAGGUGAUGGUCGUCCUCAGGUGAUGGACGUCUUCAGGAUCAGUCACAUGGAAAAAACACAUUUCUGACUUUAAUUUUAAUUGUUUUGCUUCGUUGUUGUAAAAAUACUUUUAUGUUUCCUGCUCAUUAAAUGUUUAUUGCUGAC